GAUGAAGAACGGAGCGAAAUGCGAUAAGUAAUGUGAAUUGCAGAAUUCAGUGAAUCAUCGAAUCUUUGAACGCACAUUGCGCCCUCUGGUAUUCCGGGGGGCAUGCCUGUUCGAGCGUCAUUAUAACCACUCAAGCUCUCGCUUGGUAUUGGAGUUCGCGAUCUCGCGGCUCCUAAAAUCAGUGGCGGUGCCUGUCGGCUCUACGCGUAGUAAUACUCCUCGCGAUUGAGUCCGGUAGGUUUACUUGCCAGCAACCCCCAAUUUUUACAGGUUGACCUCGGAUCAGGUAGGGAUACCCGCUGAACUUAAGCAUAUCAAUAAGCGGAGGA
rnacentral:misc_RNA from 1 species